rnacentral:rRNA from 1 species
GACGAACGCUGGCGGCGUGCUUAACACAUGCAAGUCGAACGGAAAGGCCCUGCUUUUGUGGGGUGCUCGAGUGGCGAACGGGUGAGUAACACGUGAGUAACCUGCCCUUGACUUUGGGAUAACUUCAGGAAACUGGGGCUAAUACCGGAUAGGAGCUCCUGCUGCAUGGUGGGGGUUGGAAAGUUUCGGCGGUUGGGGAUGGACUCGCGGCUUAUCAGCGUGUUGGUGGGGUAGUGGCUUACCAAGGCUUUGACGGGUAGCCGGCCUGAGAGGGUGACCGGCCACAUUGGGACUGAGAUACGGCCCAGACUCCUACGGGAGGCAGCGGUGGGGAAUAGUGCGCGAUGGGCGGAAGCAUGAUGCAGCAACGCCGCGUGCGGGAUGACGGCCUUCGGGUUGUAACCCGCUUUCGCCUGUGACGAAGCGUGAGUGACGGUAAUGGGUAAAGAAGCACCGGCUAACUACGUG